rnacentral:rRNA from 1 species
GGAUGCGAUCAUACCAGCACUAAAGCACCGGAUCCUAUCAGAACUUCGAAGUUAAGCGUGCUUGGGCGAGAGUAGUACUAGGAUGGGUGACCUCCUGGGAAGUCCUCGUGUUGCAUUCC